rnacentral:rRNA from 1 species
CCCUUAGAUGUUCGGGGCCGCACGCGCGCUACACUGAAGGAAUCAGCACGUCUUUCUCCUUGUCCGAAAGGACUGGGUAACCCGCUGAACCUCCUUCGUGCUAGGGAUUGGGGCUUGUAAUUCUUCCCCAUGAACGAGGAAUUCCCAGUAAGUGCGAGUCAUAAGCUCGCGUUGAUUACGUCCCUGCCCUUUGUACACACCGCCCGUCGCUACUACCGAUUGGAUGGUUUAGUGAGAUCCUCGGAUUGGUCCCGGCGCGGCCUCUGGUCGUGCCGGAGUGCCGAAAAGAAUGUCGAACUUGAUCAUCUAGAGGAAGUAAAAGUCGUAACA